UCGUCUGUUUAAAGAACUAUAUUUCAGACCCGAACUGUAAGCACUGCAUCAAGGAAACACUAGAACAACUCCGUCAAGCCAUGGAUUUUGAUGCAGCAGCGAUGAUGGAAAUACAACUAGCUCUUUAUGUAUUCCACGAAGCUGUCAGUAAGCAUUUGAAGAGUCACAGCAUUCAGCCUCACUGGAUGUUUGCCCUGGACAAUUUACUUCGGGGGGCGGUGACAGAAGCCAUCAUGAUCUUAU